UAUAUGUUAAAAAUUCGUGUAAUUAAUAAUUAAUUUAUAAACUUGUAUAAUUUUUAACUAAUAUUUAAAAAAUUUUGUAUUUUUAUUUAUUUUUUUAAGUAUAUAAAUAAAUUUUUUUUGAAAGAUGUAGAAUUGCGUAAUAAAUGGAUUUCUGCUCUGGGCCAAGAAUUGAAAGCUACCAGUUUUAUUUGUGAAUUACAUUUUAAUCCAGAGGAUGUGAUUAAAAGUGAUCGAGAGAUUUUGAAAGAUGGUAGUAUAUACGUGUAUGAAUAUCAGAAAGUUCAUUUGAAGAAGAAAGCUGAGCCAAAGUCAAAUAUUAUUAAUGACAGCAAUGACAAUAAUAAUAGCUUGUUAUCAGAUAAUGAGCUUCCAAACACUUCUGGUAUAAUUGACCACGCAAUAAUGGGUGACUGUAGUUUUAAUUCAGUUGAAACAAGUACCGUUCAUGAAAUUAUAAAUGAAGUAGUUGAACCUGAAAAUAUAAAUUUAGUAAACACGAAUUUUCCUGACAGUGCAAAUACUGCUAUUGAAAAUGACAAUUUGCUGGUUAUAAAUGAGACUGAGGAGUUUUCUUUUUAUUCAAUCAAAGAAAUUUUUGAAACUCAGCCACUACGUAAAAAUUGGAGUUGGACAUUCAUAAAAAAUUCUUUUAUUUCGUUGUCAUAUAUAAGCUCGAAACUGGAAUUAGUUUGUCAUGUAAAAAUUGAUAUGGAUUUAAAUGUAACGAUAAUGAAUGCAAAAACUAAUAUCGUUAUUGAUAUGAAUGUAAAUAUCUCAUCAAUUGCUUGUAUUUGGCAAUUAUUAAUAUCUUUAGAAAAUAGCUUUUUCUGCAGUGGAACUGGAUACGAUGACAAGAAAUGUUCAGUCACUUUUACAGGUAUAUUAUUGCCGGAGGAAAGGUAUAAAAAAAAAGUUGUGGAGUACAGAUGUAUUACUUGCCGAAAAUUGAGACGUUUGAUUCAAAAACGUAAGACGGAGACAACAAAUAAUGAUGCUCGAUGGAUGAAUUUCAAACAUCGCUAUAUUUUACAACGCAGAAAGCUUAAUCGGGUUGUUCACACGGGCUCUUUCAAACACUGUGAAUUUGAAAAAGCGUAAUAUAUUUAUGAAUGUGCUUGAAGUUUAAAACUUAAUACACAAAAAAGGAUCCAAUGUGACUGCAGGAGAAUUAUUAGGUUCAUUAAUGCAGACCAGAGAAUCGUUUGAAGCAUGCAAUGUGAACAAAGAAAGCUGGAGUAAAAAAAUUGAUUCUAUCAUUGAAAAUGCAUCUAGAAAUCCCAGUAGUACAGAAGCGAAUACUGGCGAUGAGCAUACAGGUUCUAAUAAUGCAAGUGACAACAAUAAUAAUAAUAAUAAUAAUAAUAAUAAUAAUAAUAAUAAUAAUAAUAAUAAUAAUAAUAAUAUUAAUGAUGUUAAUGGCUAUAAAAAUGACAUUAUUAAUAAUGAUGAUGAUAAUAAUAAUAAUUAUUAUUGCACAAAUAGUGAUAACGACUAUGAUAAUUUUGAUAACACUAGAAGUGAUUAUGAAGGUGAUGAUAAUAACAAUAAACUGUCUUUGAACUCGGUGGACUCAAGAUAUGAACAUGAUUAUGAUGUUGCUCAAACUAGCAACUAUGUGAUUUCCUACAUUGCGGGAUAUGUAGCCCGUAAAACAGGUCGGUUUUCCAAAUGCUUCGAUUGCACAGAGUCUAUGCAGUCAAGAGUAGUGAAGGCUCGUGACAAAUUUAUAGAAUUGAUGGAUAAAGGUUAUUCAAGACCAAGACGAGAUCUUGACAAGACAAUACAAGACAAUAUUAUUAAUAACUUAUUUUUCGAGAUCGAUGCAAGACUUAUAUUUUGAAGUCAAGAUCAAGAGGAGAUCAAAGCUUUCGAGAUCAAGACAAGACUUUCCCAAUCUUGUCUUGUCUCGGCUUGAGUGAAGCCCUAGUACUUGCAAUCACGUACUGGUACGAAAUGACCAGGUUGAACCAUUUUUCUCACUGCCGUACGAAGGUCCAUAUCGAGUAAUAACUCGACACGAUAAAUAUUUCAUCGUCGAUUUUUGAGGACAACAAAUCGCCAUUUUAGUGGACAGAUUGAAGCCGGUGUACGAGGCAAAUUCAGUCGACACGACGACGAUGACGGCAGACUCCCCAGCAAUUAUUAAGGCUGGGCCGUACUAAACGAAUUUUUGAAUUUUACUCUUCUUUUAAUUUAUUAAUCAAUGGUUAUUACAAAAAUUUUUAUAGCUUCCGAAAAAAUGUAAAAGACAAACUUUUUCGGAAGGUUUUCAUCAUUCGAGUGAUGUAAUUAUUCAGAAUGUAAUUAGAAAAGUAAAAUUCGUUUAGUACUGCACAGUUAGAAGUAUUUAUUUGAACCAAAUAAGAUUUAUUAAUAGUUAAUAAAUGAUUUGUUAAAUGAGAUUUAUUUGAGCCAAAUAAGCCAUUUCUUUAUAGUUAAUAAAUGGCUUAUUUGAAUAGAAAGAAAUGACACAUGAAGUUAAGGUUAUAACCUUGAAUGGAAUGAGUGUGAUUGUUAGUAAAAAUUUAUUAUGAUGUUUCAUUUUUUUUAUAUCUUUUGUAUAAUAAUUUUUAUCUUCAAUUAACAUUAAUUGUGUGUAUUAUUUUCUUUAAAAAAAUAAAAUUAAACAGUCCGAUAAAUUAUUUGUCAUAACCUUACUUAAUUAACUUCAUGUGUCAUUUCUUUCUAUUCAAAUAAAUACCAUUUAAUAAAUCAUUUAUUAACUAUUAAUAAAUAUUUAUUUGGCUCAAAAAAAUACUUCUAACAGUUUGCCGACCCUUAACACAGCAACCGAGACUCAAAAACGCCGAGUCCAGUUGAAUAUUUGAAAAAUUUACGCGAGUCACUUUUUUUUCACAUAAAAAUUUCUUUUACAAAGUAACAACUCACCAUCGUAUUAUAUUCAUUGAUUUAAUUAUUAAUUUAUUCAUAUCAUUUGUAAAUAUUUCAUUACUUUAAUUAUCGCAUAUUAAAUUUAAAAAAAACCAAGGGAGUCCUGUGGCGUUGCCACAGUAACUGUGAUCGAUAAUUUAUUCGUCAAUGUUCGUAGCCGGAUCGAUUUUUAUCGGAUUUUCAUUUUAUUUUCUAUCCUAUUCGUAUACUCGUAUAGGAUUGAGGAUAAUUAGGCGUUAGCCGUCGAGACGAGUACACGCGUCUUGUCAUUCCCUUAAUUUAAUAAAUUGUAUUUUUAAUUUUACUGUGUUACAACGAUUGUUAAAUAAAAUAUUUA